rnacentral:rRNA from 1 species
GACGAACGCUGGCGGCGUGCUUAACACAUGCAAGUCGAACGGAAAGGCCCUGCUUUUGUUGGGUGCUCGUGUGGCGAACGGGUGAGUAACACGUGAGUGACCUGCCCUUGACUUUGUGAUAACUUCAGGAAACUGGGGCUAAUACCGGAUAUGAGCUCCUGCUGCAUGGUGGGGGUUGGAAAGUUUCGGCGGUUUGGGAUGGACUCGCGGGUUAUCGGCUUGUUGGUGAGGUAGUGGCUUACCAAGGCUUUGACGGGUAGCCGGCCUGAGAGGGUGGCCGGCCACAGUGGGACUGAGAUACGGACCAGACUCCUACGGGAGGCAGCAGGGGGGAAUAUUGCACAAUGGGGGGAAGCGUGAGGCAGCAACGCCGCGUGCGGGAUGACGGGUUUCGGGUGGUAAACCGCUUUCGCAUGUGACGAAGAGUGAGUGACGGUAAUGGGUAAAGAAGCACCGGCUAACUACGUG